AGCUUUGCGCAGUGGCAGUAUCAUAGCCAAUGAGGUCUAUCCAAGGUGCGAUUAUCGCUAAUUGAAAACUUUUCCCAAUACCCUGCCAUGAUGACUUGAAAUAUAGUUGGCAUUAGCAAUUUUUGACUGUCUCUAUGGAGA
ensembl:snRNA U4 U4 spliceosomal RNA